rnacentral:lncRNA from 1 species
AAAAAAAAAUGUAUUAUUAUUUUUUUAAUCGAUAACCCUGCAGGAAAGAUGUUGAAUAUAAAUAUUGAAACUAUUGAUUCACAUUAUCGACCGUCUUUAGAGCAAGUGGCAAAGAACUUAGUGGUUGGUAUCCGAGAUCUCAAGUUCGAAUCCUAAUUGAUUCACAUUUCUAUCUAAGUUUAUUUCUAAAUGAAAUAAACGAAGCGGGUAGCGUGUUACCUAUCUCUCUCUAAAAAAAAAAAAAAAAAAAAAAAAAAAAAAAAAA